rnacentral:rRNA from 1 species
GACGAACGCUGGCGGCGUGCUUAACACAUGCAAGUCGAACGGAAAGGCCCCUUUUGGGGUACUCGCGUGGCGAACGGGUGAGUAACACGUGAGUAACCUGCCCUCGACUUCGGGAUAACUUCAGGCAACUGGGUCUAAUACCUGAUAGGAAUCCUUGCUGCAUGGUGGGGGUUGGAAAGCUUCGGCGGUUUUGUAUGGACUCGCGGCUUAUCAGCUUGUUGGUGGGGUGGUGGCUUACCAAGGCUUUGACGGGUAGCCGGCCUGAGAGGGCGACCGGCCCCAUUGGGACUGAGAUAAGGCCCAGACUCCGACGGGAGGCAGCAGUGGGGAAUAUUGCAAAAUGGGCGGAAGCCUGAUGCAGCAACGCCGCGUGCGGGAUGACGGCCUUCGGGUUGUAAACCGCUUUCAGCAGGGGCGAAGCUUGUGGUGACGGUACCUGCAGAAGAAGCACCGGCUAACUACGUG